ACGGUUCCGGAAACAGCCGAUCUCCUGCAGCGGUGGUAGUGCUUCUGUUUUGCUGCGUGUCAUUGCGUCUUCUCCACCGUCUAUCUCUGACAAUAUUUCAAUCAUGGUGGACAUUUUGUUGUUGAUGUUUUUCGCCAUCAUGGGCCUCGUCUUCCUUUCCUACAUUAUCUACCUGCUGUGAUGAUGAAGAAGAUGAAGCGUCCUGCUCGGACACACAGGCGGCCGGUGCACAGGCUAACACAGGAUGUGUGUUUUUCCUCUCCUGCAUCCAUGGUCUUCAUCAUUGACACUGGGAGAAGAGCCAGGGUCCAGCCAUGAUGGCCUCCCUAUUGGAGCUCUCAUGUAGGAGGGAAGAGCAAUCCAGCUGAGGGCAGAAAUAAUGGACUGAAGUGGAAGCUCUUUUUUUCCCUUCUCUGUCUCCUAUUUGCACUCUACCAUCACCACCCUGUUCCUCCUUUAACCUCCUUUUUAUGUCAGGAUCCUCCAAAUAAAUGUCACUACAAGAGCUCCCAUUUACCUUGAUGCAAUCAGUCCAACCAGUGUAUUUUUUAUACUUACUGUUGUGCAUGUUUCUCUUUAAAGGUGGAGAAAUAUUACCUCUGCACGUCCAAUGAAUCCGUAGACAUGGAUGCAGGACAGUUUGUUGGAUUGAGUGUAAUACAGGUGUAGAAUUUGCCUUUUUAACAACACUGUGAGCUAACUGUUGGCUCUAAUUAUAAUAUGUUUCAUUCAGUAUUAUCAUAUUAUCUUUAUUUUUGUUUUGUUUUGCCAACUCUUGUUUCAUCAAACAGUUGGAGAGCUUAUGCCUUGUUGAGUUGCCUAUUGGCUCAGCCUUGAUAUCAGUGUGUUACUUUAAAUGUGUUUACAAUAUGUUCUGCUCCUCACUACAAUCAAAAUGUCCCGUCAGGUUAAAAGGGAAUGUGCCAGUUAUACUACUCAAACUGUUUUGUAACUGUUUUUGUAUAUACUGUACAUUUGGCUGCAAAUUACAUCCGUGAGGAGCAAUGGAGUCAUUUCAGAAAUACAUCUACUGUGUAUGCUUAUCAGUUUUAUCACCUCUUAUACAUUAUGUUUCACAUAUAAAUUAUGUUAAGUUACUGAAGCACUAAUGAUUUACUUGAUGAAAGUAUUUAACAUGAUAUGUCAAAUAAAGAUGAUUUCAGUAAA